AGCAUAUUACUAAGCGGAGGAAAAGAAACCAACGGGGAUUCCCAUAGUAACUGCGAGUGAAAGGGGAAAAGCCCAGCGCCGAAUCCCGCUGCUGGUGACGGCGGCGGGAACUGUGGCGUGAAGAUGGUGUCUAUCGGUGUGGCUCGCUCGCGUAAGUUCUCCUGAGUGAGGCUCCAUCCCAUGGAGGGUGCAAGGCCCGUGUCGUGAGCAGCCGUCGCCGAUGUGCGCUAUCAGAGAGUCGCCUUGUUUGCGAGUACAAGGUGAAGUCGGUGGUAAACUCCAUCGAAGGCUAAAUAUGACCACGAGUCCGAUAGCGAACAAGUACCGUGAGGGAAAAUUGAAAAGCACUUUGAAGAGAGAGCGAAACAGUGCGUGAAACCGUUCAGAGGCAAGCAGAUGGGGCCUCGAAGGCAAAGCCGCGAAUUCAGCCGGUGGUCCGUGCGGCGGACGGGGUGGGAGAUCGUAAGACUUUACCUCGUUCCGUGUCUGUUGCGGCUGCUGGUGCACUUUCGCGGUUUGUACGCCACCGCCGUUAGGAAGCGUCCGUCGGCCCCGCAUGUGGAGCCCAGCUUACCGCAAGGUAGGCCGGUGUCUCACGGCGGGUGCCGUACGCGUUCGCGUUUUAACCGGUCAUGUCAGCGGUGUGCCAGCGUUCGCGCUGGGCGCCCGUGCUCCGGCUGGGUUGUGUUGGGAUGACGAGCUUGCUCGGCUCCCGCGCGCUNGGUGGAAUCGUGGGUGUCUUCAGCGUGGUACAUUGCGGAUUCGGUGGCGAGUA
rnacentral:rRNA from 1 species